ACAGAACUAGCUUGCUAGUUGCUGACGAGUGGCGGACGGGUGAGUAACGCGUAGGAAUCUACCGAGUAGUGGGGGACAACAGUUGGAAACGACUGCUAAUACCGCAUAAUCCCUGAGGGGGAAAGGAGGGGAUCUGUUUACAGACCUUUCGCUAUUUGAUGAGCCUGCGUGAGAUUAGCUAGUUGGUGAGGUAAUGGCUCACCAAGGCGACGAUCUCUAGCUGGUCUGAGAGGAUGAUCAGCCACACUGGAACUGAGACACGGUCCAGACUCCUACGGGAGGCAGCAGUGGGGAAUAUUGCACAAUGGGGGAAACCCUGAUGCAGCCAUGCCGCGUGUGUGAAGAAGGCCUUCGGGUUGUAAAGCACUUUCAGCGAGGAGGAAAGGAGUAUGUUUAAUAAACGUGCUCUGUGACGUUAC
rnacentral:rRNA from 1 species